CAGAGCAAGAAUCUUUGGGAAGAGUUUCCAUAGAAACAUUGACGUCCUCCUGGUGAACAGGACACUGAGUUCCUUCAAUGAGAGAUAAGACCAAUGAAGGUGACAGUCCCUUCUCAGAAAGAGUGUGACCCACCCCACGGCCCAUCUGAUGCCAGGUUUGUUGUUCAGAGCCUUCCCCUGGCCAUGGGAGUUCUGGCUCUGGAGUGAGCACAACUCAGCCUGAGAAAGUGAGCAGCCAUCUGACCCAACAGGGUCGCUCUCAGCCUUCAUGGUUUACUCUGGCUCUGACUGAGCUGUAUAUCUCUAGCACAAUUCAGAUGACUCUCUGGGGUACCUGAAUGUAUUUCAGCAUCUUACAUGUGUCACUCUUCCAAACAGACUCAUAAAAUGGCUUGGGCUGGGAGGGACCUUAACACUCAUUCAGUUCCAACCCCCUGCCAUGGGUACGGGCACCUUCCAUCAGAUCAUGUUGCUCCAAGCCCCAUCCAAGCUGACCUGGGAUACUUCCAGGGAUGGGGCAGCCACAGCUUCUCUGGGCAAUCCAUGCCAGGACAUCACAAACCUCACUGGGAAGAAUUUCUUCUUUGUACAUAAUUUAGCCUGCUCUCUCUGUCAGCUUUAAAAAUACCAAAUACCCAAACACCUUUUUGGGGUGAGUCACAUGAGGUGAGGAGCAUUCACUGCAUCUCUUCCUCUAUUUCUCUCCAGUGCUGAUAUCUCAGGGGUGACUCGUUGUUUCCCCAGCAAACCCCUGUGGUGUGAAGUUUCCUUUGAGCAGGUGAGCUGUGCUCCACUGGGACAACAUGGAGCAAGGAGGGAACUUUGCUCCAUGCAGGAGCAGGUGCUGUGGUCUUGAACCAGCCUUGUCCUCUCUGCAAGAGAGCUUCUGUUAUUCAAAAGUAUCUUGCAGGUUUCUACACGUCUGUUUCUUGUUCAUAUCCCUCCAGAGUGAUUAUCAAGAAAUACAAGGCAUCUACAACCCCAUUACAGUUGAAUGGGACCCCCAGGUACCCUGCACCUUCUGUACUCUGCUCCAGACAGUCUUCAAAGGCCAAAGACUGCAGUGUGGCUGCUGACUUUAAUCCCUGUUCUUUGCAAUGCUCAGAGACUGUGGCUAUUUAUACUGCUCUUAUUGCAAUGCUGAAAACUCUGCUGAGAGUGAAAUUAUUUCAGAUCUAUAUGGGUAUGAUGCCACAUGAAGUUCUGGUUUGUAAUUUCAUAGCAAAGAUAUCCCAUUUAUUAAAUGGGCUCUAGGCAGGAUGUUUGAUACAGAAUAUGGCAUUGAUCUACUUGCAGAAUGUUUGCAAGAAGAUAAUUUUGGUUCAACCUGUUCAGCAAGAUUCACUGUAGACAAAGAAAGACAGAAAAAUCAGCAAGUCAGAGAAUCUCAAACAAAUGUCUUGAGUUCCAGGGACUUAUUUAGAUUGUUCCACAGGAUGAUGAUAUGAAUGUCUUUGAAGGGAAUAGGAUGAGAGUGUAAAACAGAGGUUCCUCUUCCUGAGGAGUACUCAACUUUUUUCCUCGCUUUGUCUCAGUGUUGACUUAACCCUGUUUUGUAGAUGGAGAAGACUUAGAAGUAAAGAACCAUUUAGAAUGAGGGAUAUUUUGCUUGAGCAUUUUGUCCUUAUCUACAGCUUAGGGGAAUUUGAAAUCUCAUUAUUCUUUCUUGAUUAACAUACCUUUAUAAGGUGUUCAGCUAGCAUGACAAUGAACUUGAUUUAUAUAUCCAGGUAACCUGAAUCUGCAUGCGCCAGGAAAAGAUUGAAGGCAAACCAGACCCCACACCCACCAUGAUAAGACAGCUGAGUCAAGAUGAAGACCUGGUCCUCAAGGAUUGUCUGUCCCACCAUGGGCUGUGGCCCCUCCAUGCUGUGUUGUUUCUUCAGCCUUGUGUCUCCACUGGGCUCAGCUGCUAAAAGGCUUUUGCUCUGCAAAAAGGCUGCUUAUACUCAUGGUCCUCUUGAUGUGGAUAUGCAACCACCAACUCUCCAAAGCCCCAGGGAGAACCUUUUUUAGGAGGACCUGAACAAAAUACAGCCCUCCUACAACUGCAGCCUCAAUGGUGGCCAGCAGACUACCCUGGAUGAGAGCUGAUUUCCAAUGGCCUCAUUAUGCUGCCUUGGGGAGAGAGAAGGGAGCACAGAGGAGACAGCCCGAAGUGCUACAGCUGGGCUAUGAGGGGAUCCCAUUUGUCCCCACCCCUCUGCAUCACAGAGGUGUCUGAGCUGGUCUGGGGUCCUUCUUCCCCUGAAGAGCAGCCACUGACAACAUCUGCUGCCCCUCCAGGGGGGAAGGUGGGUGUUCAGGUGAGUGGGCUCAGCCUCCCAUCCUCCUCUCCUAGAGCCACACAUGCAUCCCUGUGCUGCCCAGGGUCUUGUGCUGUUGUUGCUGCCUUCAAAAGAGUUUAUUUUGGCAUUAGCUCCCCAUGGGAAACCUGUGAACAGCUCCUUCUCCCUCAGGCUGUCUCAGACUCCAGCAGAGCCCCAGCUCCUGUGGCUGCACGCAGGUCUGUCCCACUGCUUUGGGCUGUCACUCACCAACACGUUCCUUCACAUGCUCCAGGGCAGCCUGAAGCAGCCAAGGCUGCCACAUGCCACCAAAACCCCAGGCAUGCAGAAGAGUAGUUUAAUUCAGAUCCAGGCUUUAUUAAGGCUACCUGGAACCACAGGUUUGAGUCCUGGCUCUAUUGAAGCUGGCUGAGGGCUCAAGUGGAAGAACGUGGCAGAACUCGCUACUUCUCCAUGCACUCCUGUGAUAGGACUCACAAUUAUAUCUGAAUCUGUUCUACUAUUUUCCUUUUCAAAUAUCUGUCCCUUUUGCUUUUAUGAGUCAUCAACUGUUUUAUUUUCCUAGCAGAUUAGAUCGUUCCUCUCACCGUGGCUUUGGGCUUUUGCAGCUGAAUGGAACCCAGGAGACCUGAGCAUGGAGCAUCAGGAUUGAAGACACAGUAGAACACAAAAAGGGCAGCUGGUGCUCAGCAGACACCACAAGUCACUUAAAAUGUCUUUUGUUUUUUAGCUAUUGUUUGGUUAAAUGUGGUACCUGCAGCUUGAACAAUAGGCAGAGGGAGGGUAUUGCACUGUCACGGAGUGCAAGGUGAGGUUUCAGUAUGGGAAGCCAGAGGUAGCACAUUGGCCCAGCAAGUCCUUCCAAGCAGUCCAUUAGCUGAGCUCCCAAGGAGCCACACAAAUGUUCAUUGCAUUUAUUUGAGUCCACACUAGGGACGUUUCUUUAAACGACUUGGUGCGGGGAAAAAUGGAUGUUGGCAGGGCUUUAGGUUCCAGCCAGAAGUAGAUGAAACCGUGGGAGUGUUGCUCCCAGAGAGAGGUCCAGGCCACCCACACUGGGCUCUUCUUCCUCCCGCAUCAAGGUGUGCUGAGCCCUGAGGAGAGGUUUCCAAUCCUUCUUUGAGUCAGGUAGGUUAUUGCUGGGAUGCUCAAACUGGAUGCAACUGUCCCACUGCCCAGCUCACAGAUCAAUGUCCCCAUAAUCUGGGGACCCCUGUUCCACCCCAUCUGGGCAUUGUGUUGUGCUCCUUCUGCUCUUCAGAGAGCAGAGGACAAGAAACAGGAUGCUUUCAGACACUUUAGCAACUGCUUUCUCAAAGCUUGUGUUGCUGCUCCAAAGAGAGUUACUCUUUGCAUGCACCAGUCCAGAACUUUUUGGAUGCACCAAGUGAAAGAAAUGUAAUUUCCUUCUUUAUUUCCCCAUUAAAUUCCUCUGUUCUGAAGCUGAAUUGAGUUUCGGAUCUAAUUGUCCUUCCCUUUCCAAACAAAUAGAAUGCUUUGAAAAACUGCCUGUACUUUUAUACACCCAACAUCUGGUUUUGGUAAAAAUUCUGAAACUUUUUUAAUACUACUUGCAGUCUAGUGGGAAGGGAGGGUGAUAUUUAGUAGAUAAUUUUUGCCCUCAUUUUUUAAGGAAAAACCCCUAUCUAUUAAUUCUGCUGCUGGAAAUUGAGAAAGCAGUUGGGCUGAACUUCUAAGUGAACAAACACUUACGGAUCUAUUUACACCUGCCCUGAAGCAGACUGUCAUAGGUGGAAAUGCUGUUAUUAUUCCCUCUCCCUGGUUUCCACUGUCCUACAAAGAUCUCUUGGAGCAGCUUGUUAACAAGUUACUGCUGCACAUGGUGAAAUUAGAAUGAAGUCCUUAUUAACAACCAAACCAAACUGACAAAAAAUUACUAAAAUUGGCAAUAGCAAAAGUGAGGGGAGUUGCUUUGAGUCAGUUUUUGCUUCUUAGUUCCAUCUAUUUAAGAAGGCUGAGAAUUACAAAUGACAAACGUGGCUGGCAGUUGAGCAGGGACAAGGACCUGAGAGGGAGUGAUAGGGAGAUGCAACAGCAGUUUUUCUUCUGUUCCUUUUUCCAUCACUGCAUGUUUCCAAAUUUAUUCCUCUCCCUAAAGAGUCCCUCUCCUUUGUUAUCUUCCUACUCUUCUCCCACCUCCUUCUCCCUUGGUUUAUUUCUCAGAACAGAUGAUCUCCUCUGCUCACCAGCCAGGUUAACUCUAGUUUCAGUAUCAAAGAUCAUUUAGGCUGAAAAUAGCUUUUACUGGGCCCAUGUUAAAACCCAGAAGUGUCUGGUCAUCAGAUAUUCAGCUGCCCCUCAGUCAGGGUUAUCCAUGUCAGGUACUCCCAGUUCCAUGGUCUCAAGCCAUUGCAGUUCGUCACAACUCAGGAGGGUUGUGAACUCAGUUACAGCUGAUUAUGCAUCACAUGAGAGGAGCUGAAGAAGCAGGAGAAAAAUAUCAUUAAUACAGACAGCCUGUCCUUUAGGGAUAUCUUUGUUUUUAUGGCAAGUUUUUUAGGUUUUCUGAAGUGACAUUAAAUUGUUACCGCUUUAUGUUCAUUAGGAAAUGGCCAGUGGUGAUAUUUACUGUUGCCUUCUGGGGUACAGAGUCCAAAUGACUCAGUUAUGAAAAUAAGCCUUACACUGUUCAGAAGUAUGAAAUGUGGCUCCUCAGUUCCAAGCAUGAAGUAAUGAUGAUUCUGGAGCAAGAGGAUGGAUGUGCUACAAAUUCUAGUGCUGUCAACUUUUGCCUGCCCUGCGGAACAAGGGAAGAGAAUCCUGAGCUGGAAGUGCCUGGAUGGAGUCAGAAGGAAGCUCUUGGAGAAAAUAUCAUCCAACUCAGAAGAGAACUUUCAGGGAGCAGAUCUCCUGGUGAAGGAACAAUUACAUUACUAUCUCUCUGGAGCUGGAGAUAAAUGGGUUCUAUCCUCUUUGAGGCAAAGCAUUUAUCAGACAACAAAAGUUACAAUUACUGGCAAGGAACAAGGUUGGACUGUGCAGCAACAAGUGCUUCUGGAGAAUCUAAGCCCAAUGCAUGUGCUGAAGUUACUCUUUAUUUUCUGAUAUGAAACCAGUCCCACAUAUAAAGGAAACAAAUUCCAGCCUCUUCCUUACUCGGUUUUCAACAGCUGCUCAGUUGCUCAAUAGUUCAGCCAGCCAGAAAGGAGAUGUUCAUAGAUAAUUGGAAACAAAAUCAAUUUCUGCCACUUCCAUGACUGGUUUCAAUCCCAGAUCACCCAGCUCAGGGCUGGGAUCUUUUGCAAAUCCUCAGAGGUGGGAUUGCUGGUUAAUAAUUGCUGUAAUUCAUUUAGGUCAUAGCCCUUCUUCUUCUCUUUCUUUUCACUGCCUGAGGGAGAGCUGAAACAGGGAUCACCCAAGGCACAAGUGCUGGUUUAACUUACUGCCACAGUCAGCUAAAUCUGAGCUCUCUGCUCAACAUGCUUGGCUCAGUUCACCUCGGGUCUCUGGCAUUGAUUCUUACAAUUGCCCUUCUUAUACUUAAAUUUCAAAACCUGAGAAUUCUUCUAUAUAUAAGCAUAAUCACACUGUUAUACCUCCAAAUGAAUAUGAGACUAUUUUCAGGAUUUUAAAAAAAUCCAUUAAAAAUACUUGGGUCUGUAUUUUCUUGCUCAUGUAAGCAGGUACUUUUAAUAAAAUCUGUUCUGAGAAGUGUCAUGUGUAUAUGCAGCCUUGGAUUAGACUGAAAUGAAAUUGUGAGAAUUUAUGGAAAAGCUUUUAGUGAGAAAACAUCCUCAGCUAUAUAGCCUUAGAAACUAGAGAGUUGGAGUUGGAGCUCAGAGAGUGGCUAUGAAUAUGGAGAGCCAGGAGUUGGAAUAAUCUCAAGGGAGGCAACUGCACCAGCCAGGAUGAAAGAUGAGUUUCAGCAGAAAAUUGAUCAAGAUAACGAAGCAGGGGGAAGAUGUCUUGUGACAGCAGCUGGAUUUGUAGCAUCUAGCCUCAAAUAGGAGCAUGAAACAUAAGUUUGCUUGGAGGAGGAAAAAAUCAAUCAGGGAAUUUCACAUAGGAUUGUGAGACUAUGGAACACUCCAAGGCACCCUGGAACACUGCACCAUUUACCCUAAUCGGGGGGUGAGUCAGCACUCAAUU